rnacentral:rRNA from 1 species
UACGUAGGGGGCAAGCGUUGUCCGGAUUUAUUGGGCGUAAAGAGCGUGUAGGCGGCUAGAUAGGUCCGUUGUGAAAACUCGAGGCUCAACCUCGAGACGUCGAUGGAAACCAUCUGGCUAGAGUCCGGAAGAGGAGAGUGGAAUUCCCGGUGUAGCGGUGAAAUGCGCAGAUAUCGGGAAGAACACCCGUGGCGAAGGCGGCCCUCUGGGACGGUACUGACGCUGAGACGCGAAAGCGUGGGGAGCGAACAGG